rnacentral:rRNA from 1 species
UACGUAGGGUGCAAGCGUUGUCCGGAAUUAUUGGGCGUAAAGAGCUCGUAGGCGGUUUGUCGCGUCGAAUGUGAAAACCCGGGGCUCAACCCCGGGCCUGCAUUCGAUACGGGCAGACUAGAGUUCGGUAGGGGAGUCUGGAAUUCCUGGUGUAGCGGUGAAAUGCGCAGAUAUCAGGAGGAACACCGGUGGCGAAGGCGGGACUCUGGGCCGAUACUGACGCUGACGGAGCGAAAGCGUGGGGAGCGAACAGG